rnacentral:rRNA from 1 species
AUUGAACGCUGGCGGAAUGCUUUACACAUGCAAGUCGAACGGCAGCACGGACUUCGGUCUGGUGGCGAGUGGCGAACGGGUGAGUAAUACAUCGGAACGUGCCCAGUCGUGGGGGAUAACGUAGCGAAAGCUACGCUAAUACCGCAUACGAUCUAAGGAUGAAAGCGGGGGAUCGCAAGACCACGCGCGAUUGGAGCGGCCGAUGGCAGAUUAGGUAGUUGGUAGGGUAAAGGCCUACCAAGCCGACGAUCUGUAGCUGGUCUGGGAGGACGACCAGCCACACUGGGACUGAGACACGGCCCAGACUCCUACGGGAGGCAGCAGUGGGUAAUUUUGGACAAUGGGCGCAAGCCUGAUCCAGCCAUUCCGCGUGCAGGAUGAAGGCCCUCGGGUUGUAAACUGCUUUUGUACGGAACGAAAAGGCUCUGGUUAAUACCCGGGGCUCAUGACGGUACCGUAAGAAUAAGCACCGGCUAACUACGUGCCAGCCGCCGCAGUAA